GACGAACGCUGGCGGCGUGCCUAAUACAUGCCAGUCGAGCGGACUUUCAAGAAGCUUGCUUUUUGAAAGUUAGCGGCGGACGGGUGAGUAACACGUGGGCAACCUGCCUGCAAGACGGGGAUAACUCCGGGAAACCGGGGCUAAUACCGGAUAAUAUCUUCCUUCGCAUGAAGGAAGGUUGAAAGGCGGCGCAAGCUGCCGCUUGCAGAUGGGCCCGCGGCGCAUUAGCUAGUUGGUGAGGUAACGGCUCACCAAGGCGACGAUGCGUAGCCGACCUGAGAGGGUGAUCGGCCACACUGGGACUGAGACACGGCCCAGACUCCUACGGGAGGCAGCAGGAGGGAAUCUUCCGCAAUGGACGAAAGUCUGACGGAGCAACGCCGCGUGAGCGAAGAAGGGCGUCGGAUCGUAAAGCUCUGUUGUCAGGGAAGAACAAGUAACGUUCGAACAGGGCGGUACCUUGACGGUACCUGACCAGAAAGCCACGGCUAACUACGUG
rnacentral:rRNA from 1 species